CCUACGGGAGGCUGCAGUGAGGAAUAUUGGUCAAUGGGCGCGAGCCUGAACCAGCCAAGUCGCGUGAGGGAUGAAGGUUCUAUGGAUCGUAAACCUCUUUUAUCAGGGAGUAAAGUGUGGGACGGGUCCUAUUUUGUAUGUACCUUAUGAAGAAGGAUCGGCUAACUCCGUGACAGCAGCCGCGGUAAUACGGAGGAUCCGAGCGUGAUCCUGAUUUAUUGGGUUUAAAGGGUGAGUAGGCGGCCUUUUAAGUCAGCGGUGAAAGUUUGUGGCUUAAUCAUAGAAUGGCCUUUGAGACUGGGGGGCUUGAGUAUGUUGGCGGCAGGCGGAAUGCGUGGUGUAGCGGUGAAAUGCUUAGAUA
rnacentral:rRNA from 1 species